CUUUAAUAUAAAUAACACUUAUAAGAUCAAGGAAGCGAUAGGUAUGUCAAAUCCAAAAGGAUGUGAUCACCAACAGAUGAAGUUUGCUGGUUACUUCUGUGAUUAUGCAGAUAACAACUCCUUGGUCAUAAAAACAUCUAUUUUCGGCAUGAAGACUUUGCAGUUACCGUUCGGUUCCCAGUCGGUCCCCAGCGGCACUUAGCCGCGAUUCCAUGGAACUAUUUUCACCAUGAAGACUUUGCGGUUCCCGUUCGGUCCCCAGCGGCACUUAGCUGCGAUUCUAUGGAACUAUUUUCGGCUAGGGGACCAUGCGUGCGGUCGGUCAAAUUAUGACUUCCAUGAAAUUCCUGAACCCCUGAAUCGAUGAGGUUGAUUUUUGGAUAUGUUGGUCACCCAGACUGGGACUAUCGGGGGAUGUAACUUUUGUGGGGGUUUAUGUAUUUUUAAGGUACUUUUGGGGUGUUUGGUAAAUGUGUGUUUUUUUGUGCCUGGAGAUAAUUGAGUUUAAUACUAUGCUUGACGCCAUUAUCUCCCAGGCACAGGGGAGGGAUUAUCGUAUCAUGUAUGGGAGUGUCCUGGAUCUGAGAGCUAAUGUAUUUGUGUGUAUCUUUUUACUGUAGUCUUCUCUCAGAUCCAGGGGGGAGUGCCCCUUGCAUGGGGACUGCAUAUAAGGGGAAAGGGCUGUUCCAGUGUGGAGGAUUCAACUGGGAACGUCCUUGUAAGGACUAGAGCUCCCAAGACUGAGUGUCAGCCAGUUCCUGGGGGUGUCUAGAGUGAAUCCCCCCUUCGGCUCCAGGAGGGAGCGGUUCCAGGACUAGAGACUAACAGACAGCCACUGGGGACGCUUCUGGAAUCCAAAUUGACUUUUGGUCCAUUAUCUGACGCUGAACGUCCUCACGGACCUCCAGCGUCAGA